CGUACAACGUCUUCGGAUGACUUGUGGUAAGGAGUGAAAAGCUAAUCGAACCUAGUAAUAGCUGGUUCUCUCCGAAAUAGCUUUAGGGCUAGCGUCAAAUGUUUUCUCUGGGGGUAGAGCACUGGAAGAUUCGGACAGGUCGCAAGAUCGCUGAACCUAUCAAACUCCGAAUACCAGAGACCAUAGUUUGGCAGUUAGGCCAUGGGGGCGAAGCUCCAUUGGCCAAAAGGGAAACAGCCCAGAUCUCAAUAUAAGGUCCCUAAAUUCAUGCUAAGUGUAAAAUAAGAAGGUGGAGUUUCUUAAACAAUGAGGAGGUUGGCUUAGAAGCAGCCAUCCUUUAAAGAUAGCGUAACAGCUCACUCAUCUAGAGAUUUUGCGUCGAAAAUAAUUGNNNNNNNNNUCAUCUAGAGAUUUUGCGUCGAAAAUAAUUGGGGCUAAGCAUGAUACCGAAUGUGAGGAUUUUAGAAGUCUACGGACACCUAAAGUGGUAGGAGAGUGUUCCACUCUGCUGUGAAGGAGUACUCGUGAGAGACUCUGGAGCGUGUGGAAGUAAGAAUGUUGGCACAAGUAACCGCAAUGACGCUGAGAACGCGUCACGUCGAAAGAUCAAGGUUUCCUUGGUAAUGUCAAUCAGCCAAGGGUUAGUCGGGCCUAAGGGAAUGGCGAAAGCCGUACUCGAUGGGCAGUAGGUUAAUAUUCCUACACUUUUGUAUUUUGUGACGGGAUGACGGAGGGUAGUAUGUAUCGCUCAUUAUUGGAUUUGAAGUUCGUGUCUUGAUUAUGCUCUAUAGGAAAAUCCGUAGAGUGCCUUAGAUGGCGCAUGAAAGAGAAGCGAAAAGUUUUAUUCUUCGGGAUAAGAUAAUGAUACAAAGCACGCUUCCAAGAAAAAUCUCUAAACUUAUGAAUAUAGAAUCCGUACCGCAAACCGACACAGGUGAUCAGGUCGAUUAGACCAAGACGAACGAGUGAGUGGUCCCCAAGGAACUCGGCAAAAAAGCAGCCGUAACUUCGGGAUAAGGCUUCCCCAUGCAUCACAUUGCAUGUGAUGCGAAAUUUAAAUGUUGAAAUAUUUAAAUAUUUAAAUCUCGCAUCGCGCGUAGCGUGAUGCAUGGGGCGCAGUGAAAGUAUCUCUGGCAACUGUUUACCAAAAACACAGCUCCCUGCGAACUCGUAAGAGGAUGUAUAGGGGGUGACACCUGACCAAUGCCAGAAGGUCAAAUAUAGCCGUUGUGCGCAUCACAUUGCAUGUGAUGCUGAUGUUUAAACAUUUAAAUAUUUAAAUUUCAGCAUCGCGCGUAGCGCGAUGCGCAUGGUGAGUUAUAUAAGCCCUGGUGAAUGUCGGCCGUAACUAUAACGGUCCUAAGGUCCUGACGUUUUGAUCUCAAAUCAAGACGGAAGGAUGACUGGGACUGUUGUAGAAAAAGGUAAAUAAUUAAAUUAAAAAAUUAUUAGAUUAUUCGAAUGCUACCUGCUUUGCAGUAAUGCAAAGACAGUCAAAACUUGGCUAACGAGAGACCAGCGUCAAGUACCCUAACUUCUAACGAAGUGGGUAAAGAUAGAGUCCUUCUUAGGAGUAGAAGAGCGAAAUUCCUUGUCGGGUAAGUUCCGACGCGCACGAAUGGUGUAAUGACUGGAGAACUGUCUCGGGGACCAGCUCGGUGAAAAUACAAUACCGGUGAAGAUGCCGGUUAAGUGCAGUUAGACGAAAAGACCCUAUGAAGCUUUACUAUAACUUUAUAUUGAGCAUAUUUUUGGACUGCGUAGAAUAGAUGGGAGAGGUCUGAUGGAUUCGUUUUCGGAUGAAUUCUACUCGUCAGUGAAAUACCAUUCUUUUUGAGGAUAUGUUCUAACCAAAACGGCAAAAACGUUUUGAGACAGUAUAUGGCGGAUAGUUUUACUGGGGCUGUACCCUCGAGUACUUGAAACACCUCAUCCCCCGCCUUCCCCUGAAAGGGGAAGGGGCACCCUCUCCUUUCAGGAGAGGGCAGGGUGAGGUUGGGUUUUGAGUAUUCGAAUUUUACAGCUCCAAUGUCAAAGAGACUCUUUGACAUGAAACAAAAAUAGGGGGGCUUUCACGAAACAGAUAGAGUUUUAGACUCUAGACAGAGGCUAAACCUCUGUCUGUAUCAAAAUUGUGAUUGGAAAGUUGGGAAUUUGCUGGAAAAACCGGUUAAAACAUUCUUAAUUACAAAAUGUUCACCCGACCCUAGAGCAAACAAAGAUUGCUCGGGUUUAGGGGGUAUGGUAUACUACUUGCAUUAGUAAGUAACAAU
rnacentral:rRNA from 1 species